rnacentral:rRNA from 1 species
UUUGGUAAAGCUACUAAGAGCGUAUGGAGGAUGCCUAGGCACAUGGAGGCGAUGAAGGACGUGGUAAGCUGCGAUAAGCUUCGGGUAGGUGCAAACAACCUUAAAUCCGGAGAUUUCCGAAUGGGAAAACCCAGCCCGGGUUAUGCCGGGUUACUCCCACCUGAAUAUAUAGGGUGGGUAGAGCCAACGGGGAGAACUGACACAUCUAAGUACCCCCAGGAAGAGAAAAUACUAAUGAUUUCCCUAGUAGCGGCGAGCGAACAGGAAAGAGCCUAAACCGUUAACGUGUCAAGCCCAAGAGCGUUGCGCUAACGGUGUUGUGGGACUGGAAUAGAGUCAAUCUUGGACGACUCGACAAGUCAAAAAAUCAAUCGUUAGAUGAAGUGGUAUGGAAAGACCAGCCAUAGAAGGUGAUAGCCCUGUAAUCAAAAACGAGCGAUCUUGUUGAUUCCAGAUCCCGAGUAACACGGAACACGAGAAAUUUUGUGUGAAUCUGCCGGGACCAUCCGGUAAGGCUAAAUACUCCCAUGUGACCGAUAGUGAACUAGUACCGUGAGGGAAAGGUGAAAAGUACUCCUAGCGGAGAGUGAAAUAGAACCUGAAACCGUGCGCUUACAAGCGGUCGGAGCUCCGAUUCGUCGGGGUGACGGCGUGCCUUUUGCAUAAUGAUCCAGCGAGUUGCUCGUAUGUUGCGAGGUUAAGAUCCAAAGAUCGAAGCCAUAGGGAAACCGAGUCUGAAUAGGGCGUUUAGUAGCAUGCGGCAGACCCGAAACCGAGUGAUCUAGCCAUGGCCAGGUUGAAGUUCCGGUAACACGGAAUGGAGGACCGAACCCACCAGCGUUGAAAAGCUGGGGGAUGAGCUGUGGCUAGGGGUGAAAGGCCAAUCAAACUCGGAGAUAUCUGGUUCUCGUCGAAAUGCCUUUAGGGGCAGCGUUGUAUUAAUGUAUCGGGGGUAGAGCACUGAAUGGGCUAGGGGGCCUACAAGCUUACCAACCCCAAUUAAACUCCGAAUACCGAAUACAUGAUGUACAGCAGUGAGGCUACGGGUGAUAAGAUUCGUAGCCGAGAGGGAAACAACCCAGACCAUCAGCUAAGGUCCCUAAAUUGAUACUAAGUGAUAAAGGAUGUGGAAUCGCCCAGACAGCUAGGAGGUUGGCUUAGAAGCAGCCAUCCUUUAAAGAAAGCGUAAUAGCUCACUAGUCAAGGGGUUCUGCGCCGAUAAUUUCCGGGACUAAGUAUCAUACCGAAGCUAUGGGAUUCAUUCGAUUAGAAUGGAUCGGUAGACGAGCGUUCUAUUAACCUGCGAAGGUUGACCCGUGAGGGCAGCUGGAGGAGAUAGAAAUGAGUAUGCUGGAAUGAGUAGCGAUAAAGCCUGUGAAAUACAGGCUCGCCGUAAGCCCAAGGUUUCCUGAGUAAAGUUAAUCUGCUCAGGGUUAGUCGGACCCUAAGCCGAGGCCGAAAGGCGUAGGCGAUGG